GACGAACGCUGGCGGCGUGCCUAACACAUGCAAGUCAACUUGACUGAAGGAGCAAUCUGACAGUAGAGUGGCGCAAGGGUGCGUAACGCGUAAGUAACUUGCCCAAGGUAAGGAAUAACGUCGAGAAAUCGGCGCUAAUACCUCAUAAUGCAGCGGAUCCGCAUGGAUAUGUUGUUAAAGGUUUACCGCCUUGGGGAUAGGCUUGCGUCUGAUUAGCUAGUUGGUGUGGUAACGGCACACCAAGGCUACGAUCAGUAACUGGUCUGAGAGGAUGAUCAGUCACACUGGAACUGAGACACGGUCCAGACUCCUACGGGAGGCAGCAGUGAGGAAUAUUGGGCAAUGCUCGAAAGAGUGACCCAGCAACGCCGCGUGGAGGAUGAAGGUAUUCUAUAUCGUAAACUCCUGUGAGAGCAGACGAAAGACAGAUUAUUAAUCUGGAUGACUGUAUGCUCAGAGGAAGCCCCGGCUAACUACGU
rnacentral:rRNA from 1 species